AUUGGGCUUGGGCCGCUGUUUGGGCCAUACGCCAAAACCUUGAGUCAGGGGAGGAAGACUCCCGAUGGGAGUCAUCUUCCUCCCCGAGUCCGGCGCAGAGGAGGAGUCCUAGGGCUUGCCAGACUCUGGCGAAAGUCCUAGGACUCGGUCUAUAAAGGUAUCUCCCCUCUUCCUUCGAAGCGUCGCUCACAAAUUUCGAAUGAACCUCGUUGGAUUUCCUUCCCUUGCGAAUUUUCUCCCAAAUUGUCUCCCCUGAUUCCUCGCCAGAAACGCCGCCGGAACUUCGCCGGACUGAGGGAACAAUCUGUUGGACGGAAAAAUAUUGAGCAGGGUUCUGCGCAUCAUAGUUCAUAGAUCGCUGUGAGGGCGGGUGAUUAGUCUGUUUGAGUUUUUCAACAAGAAGAGUUGCAGGAUGCAUAGACAUGAAUGGGUUGGGCGUGGAGCUCGAGUAUCAGAGUUAUUAGCUAGUUAGUUGGUUUAUCUUUCUUCGCUGCCGAUGAGCAUUUGAAGAUCUUGUAAUUGAACCAAUUUGAUUAUUUGGACAUGUUGGAGUUGUCUAUUUGAAUUAAUUAAUAAUUAUGGAUUUAUUAGAUAUUUCGUUUAUCUUAGGCCUUGCAUGAUCUUUGGGGCACUGCUCUAGAGCUCAUACGGCCGAUCGCGUACCGGACCCGAGUGCUGGGUUCAGGGCCUGACAAUAAUACCAAUGGAUAGCCAUUUCGGGUCUGUAGUCUCUAUAUUUUAAAACAUUAGCAGUCCUGUUCAUAGUUUCCGAAGUUUCCUCUCGACGGCGAAUGCAUGUGACAGCUUUUGCCAUUGCCAGCAUGACAAGAAGAAGCCCCAACGGACUUAUUCCAACGGACUUGAAAUUGAGAAGCUUCUGAAGAAGCUCAGAAGCUCAAGCCAGCAGAAAAAGAUAAUAUUGCUUGCUACUAGUUUUAGUGUUUUCCUUUAUACAGCUAAAUUUAAAUGUCUGAUGUCAUUUGUUUUGUUGAUGAUUUUGGAGAGUAACUUUGAUUGUAUCUGGUUUUGCAGAGGGAGGGUCGUGAUAUGGUUGAUUGCGCUGAGAUUUAUAAACAACCAGCCUUUGAUCAUCCUUUAUUAAAGAAUCACACUGCCAUGUUGUCAUGGAACAAAUAAGGCAGAGAAGUGGAAGUUGCCCAAACGGAACAGUUCCUGUUCGAAGUAUUCCAAAGAGUGACCUUUUUGGAGCUAGCUCUUUGGAACAUGAUGGUGUGAAUCAUGACGAGCCAAGGACUGAUGGAAUAGAAGUCAGCACAGUAUGUGGCUUCAAUUGUUCAUCACUAAGAUUAACACAUUUAUAAUGAUGAAUGAAUACCUACUAUGAAUCUGUACACCAUUGUAUAUAUUUUUAGAUUGCUGGAGCAAAAGCAGGUCAGCAGCAAGGCCAAGCACAUAGUAGUUGAUCAGAUCCACUUGUCAUAAUUAAUAAAUGGAGCUCAAAUUCUGUUGCAGUGGUAA